rnacentral:rRNA from 1 species
UACGUAGGGUCCGAGCGUUGUCCGGAAUUACUGGGCGUAAAGAGCUCGUAGGUGGUUUGUCGCGUUGUUCGUGAAAACUCACAGCUCAACUGUGGGCGUGCGGGCGAUACGGGCAGACUUGAGUACUGCAGGGGAGACUGGAAUUCCUGGUGUAGCGGUGGAAUGCGCAGAUAUCAGGAGGAACACCGGUGGCGAAGGCGGCUCACUGGCUCGUUUCUGACGCUCAGGCGCGAUAGCGUGGGGAUCAAACAGG